rnacentral:rRNA from 1 species
GGGUGCAAUCAUACCAACGUUAUUGCAUGAGUUCUGAUCAUAAAUUUGGAGUUAAGUGCGCUUAGACUAGAGUAGUAAUGGGAUGGGUGACCUCCCCAGAGUUCCUAUUGUUGCAUCCU